AUUGAACGCUGGCGGCAGGCCUAACACAUGCAAGUCGAGCGGAUGAAGGGAGCUUGCUCCUGGAUUCAGCGGCGGACGGGUGAGUAAUGCCUAGGAAUCUGCCUGGUAGUGGGGGAUAACGUCCGGAAACGGGCGCUAAUACCGCAUACGUCCUGAGGGAGAAAGUGGGGGAUCUUCGGACCUCACGCUAUCAGAUGAGCCUAGGUCGGAUUAGCUAGUUGGUGGGGUAAAGGCCUACCAAGGCGACGAUCCGUAACUGGUCUGAGAGGAUGAUCAGUCACACUGGAACGGAGACACGGUCCAGACUCCUACGGGAGGCAGCAGUGGGGAAUAUUGGACAAUGGGCGAAAGCCUGAUCCAGCCCUGCCGCGUGUGUGAAGAAGGUCUUCGGAUUUUAAAGCUCUUUUAGUUGGGAGGAAGGGCAGUAAGUUAAUACCUUGCUGUUUUGACGUUACCAACAGAAUAAGCACCGGCUAACUUCGUG
rnacentral:rRNA from 1 species